AACGAACGCUGGCGGCAGGCUUAACACAUGCAAGUCGAGCGCCCCGCAAGGGGAGCGGCAGACGGGUGAGUAACGCGUGGGAACAUACCCUUUGGUUCGGAAUAACUCAGGGAAACUUGAGCUAAUACCGGAUACGUCCGUAAGGAGAAAGAUUUAUCGCCAAAGGAUUGGCCCGCGUCCGAUUAGCUAGUUGGUGAGGUAACGGCUCACCAAGGCUACGAUCGGUAGCUGGUCUGAGAGGAUGAUCAGCCACAUUGGGACUGAGACACGGCCCAAACUCCUACGGGAGGCAGCAGUGGGGAAUAUUGGACAAUGGGCGGCAAGCCUGAUCCAGCCAUGCCGCGUGAGUGAUGAAGGCCUUAGGGUUGUAAAGCUCUUUUGUCCGGGAAGAUAAUGACUGUACCGGAAGAAUAAGACCCCGGCUAACUUCGUGCCAGCAG
rnacentral:rRNA from 1 species